rnacentral:rRNA from 1 species
AUUGAACGCUGGCGGCAUGCCUUACACAUGCAAGUCGAACGGCAGCACGGACUUCGGUCUGGUGGCGAGUGGCGAACGGGUGAGUAAUAUAUCGGAACAUACCUUGUAGUGGGGGAUAACUAUCCGAAAGGAUAGCUAAUACCGCAUACGAUCUAAGGAUGAAAGCGGGGGCUCUUCGGACCUCGUGCUAUAAGAGUGGCCGAUAUCUGAUUAGCUAGUUGGUGAGGUAAAGGCUCACCAAGGCGACGAUCAGUAGCUGGUCUGAGAGGACGACCAGCCACACUGGAACUGAGACACGGUCCAGACUCCUACGGGAGGCAGCAGUGGGGAAUUUUGGACAAUGGGGGCAACCCUGAUCCAGCAAUGCCGCGUGAGUGAAGAAGGCCUUCGGGUUGUAAAGCUCUUUUGUCAGGGAAGAAACGGUUGUGGCUAAUAUCCAUGGCUAAUGACGGUACCUGAAGAAUAAGCACCGGCUAACUACGUGCCAGCCGCCGCCGUAACAC